rnacentral:rRNA from 1 species
ACUCCUACGGGAGGCAGCAGUGAGGAAUAUUGGUCAAUGGGCGCGAGCCUGAACCAGCCAAGUAGCGUGAAGGAUGAAGGUCCUAUGGAUUGUAAACUUCUUUUAUAGCAGAAUAAAGUGACCCACGUGUGGGUUUUUGUAUGUAUGCUAUGAAUAAGGAUCGGCUAACUCCGUGCCAGCAGCCGCGGUAAU